GACGAACGCUGGCGGCGUGCUUAACACAUGCAAGUCGAACGGAAAGGCCCUGCUUUUGUGGGGUGCUCGAGUGGCGAACGGGUGAGUAACACGUGAGUAACCUGCCCUUGACUUUGGGAUAACUUCAGGAAACUGGGGCUAAUACCGGAUAGGGGCUCCUGCUGCAUGGUGGGGGUUGGAAAGUUUCGGCGGGUGGGGAUGGCCUCGCGGCUUAUCAGCUUGUUGGUGGGGUAGUGGCUUACCAAGGCUUUGACGGGUAGCCGGCCUGAGAGGGUGACCGGCAACAUUGGGACUGAGAUACGGCCCAGACUCCUACGGGAGGGAGCAGUGGGGAAUAUUGUACUACGGGAGGAAGCCUGAUGCAGCAACGCGGCGUGCGGGAUGACGGCCUUCGGGUUGUAAACCGCUUUCGCCUGUGACGAAGCGUGAGUGACGGUAAUGGGUAAAGAAGCACCGGCUAACUACGUG
rnacentral:rRNA from 1 species